AUUGAACGCUGGCGGCAGGCCUAACACAUGCAAGUCGAGCGGAUGACGGGAGCUUGCUCCUUGAUUCAGCGGCGGACGGGUGAGUAAUGCCUAGGAAUCUGCCUGGUAGUGGGGGACAACGUUUCGGAAGGAACGCUGAUACCGCAUACGUCCUACGGGAGAAAGCAGGGGACCUUCGGGCCUUGCGCUAUCAGAUGAGCCUAGGUCGGAUUAGCUAGUAGGUGAGGUAAUGGCUCACCUAGGCGACGAUCCGUAACUGGUCUGAGAGGAUGAUCAGUCACACUGGAACUGAGACACGGUCCAGACUCCUACGGGAGGCAGCAGUGGGGAAUAUUGGACAAUGGGCGAAAGCCUGAUCCAGCCAUGCCGCGUGUGUGAAGAAGGUCUUCGGAUUGUAAAGCACUUUAAGUUGGGAGGAAGGGCAGUAAGUUAAUACCUUGCUGUUUUGACGUUACCGACAGAAUAAGCACCGGCUAACUCUGUGCCAGCCGCCGCGGUAA
rnacentral:rRNA from 1 species